rnacentral:pre_miRNA from 1 species
CCUUCGUCCCAAAAAAAUUAUGUGUGACUAAUCCAUCUUAUUUGAAAAUUUUUUAUAAUUAUGAUUAUUAUUAUUAUUAUUAUUAGAUGAUAAAACAUAAAUUGUACUUUAUGUGUGACUAAUUUUUUUUAAAAAAAUUUCAAAUAAGACAGUCGGUCAAACAUUGGAUACAGAAACCCACGAUUGCACUUAAA